rnacentral:rRNA from 1 species
GACGAACGCUGGCGGCGUGCUUAACACAUGCAAGUCGAACGGAAAGGCCCUGCUUUUGUGGGGUGCUCGAGUGGCGAACGGGUGAGUAACACGUGAGUAACCUGCCCUUGACUUUGGGAUAACUUCAGGAAACUGGGGCUAAUACCGGAUAGGAGCUCCUGCUGCAUGGUGGGGGUUGGAAAGUUUCGGCGGUUGGGGAUGGACUCGCGGCUUAUCAGCUUGUUGGUGGGGUAGUGGCUUACCAAGGCUUUGACGGGUAGCCGGCCUGAGAGGGUGACCGGCCACAGUGGGACAGAUAGACGGCGCAGACUCCGACGGGAGGCAGCAGGGGGGAAGAUGGCUGAAUGGGGGGAAGCCUGAUGCAGCAACGCCGGGUGCGGGAUGACGGGCGUCGGGGUGUAAAAAGCUUUCGCCGGUAACGAAGGGGGAGGGAGGGGAAUGGAUAAAGAAGCACCGGCUAACUACAUG